rnacentral:rRNA from 1 species
GACGAACCGUGCGAACGUUAUUCGGAAUCACUGGGCUUAAAGCGCGUGUAGGCGGACGGCACGUCGGUCGCUGAAAGCCCCCGGCUUAACCGGGGAACUGGCGGAGAUACGACCGUCCUGGAGGGGCGUAGGGGGACCUGGAACUUCCGGUGGAGCGGUGAAAUGCGUUGAGAUCGGAAGGAACGCCCGUGGCGAAAGCGAGGUCCUGGACGCCUACUGACGCUGAGACGCGAAAGCCAGGGGAGCGAACGGG